rnacentral:pre_miRNA from 1 species
GGUCUCACCUGGUGCGUAACGCUGGUGUUAUGUCUCGCCUUACGUGCCACGUGAGGACUCU